rnacentral:rRNA from 1 species
ACGCUCGACACCUACGGAGGCAGCAGUUGGGAAUAUUGGACAAUGGAGGAAACUCUGAUCCAGUGACGCCGCGUGAAGGAAGAAGGUCUUCGGAUUGUAAACUUAUUUUGUCAGGGAAGAAAAAUGACUGUACCUGAAGAAAAAGCACCGGCUAACUACGUGCUAGCAGCCGCGGUAAUCUGAGCGGGCUGGCAAGGC